rnacentral:rRNA from 1 species
UACAGAGACCUCAAGCGUUAUCCGGAAUCAUUGGGCGUAAGCGUACCGAUAGGUGGUUAAGAAAGCCAAAAGUGAAAUCUCCGAGCUCAACUCGGAAUCUGUCUUUUGGAACUUCUCAACUAGAGGGGCAAAGAGGAAGCUGGAACGAACGGUGUAGUAGUGAAAUGCGUUGAUAUCGUUCGGAACACCAAUAGCGUAGGCAGGCUUCUGGGUGCCACCUGACACUGCUAGGACGAAAGCGUGGGGAGCGAAUGG